rnacentral:rRNA from 1 species
AUUGUGGUUUUAAUUCGAAGCAACGCGAAGAACCUUACCAGGUCUUGACAUCCCGAUGCUAUUUCUAGAGAUAGAAAGUUACUUCGGUACAUCGGUGACAGGUGGUGCAUGGUUGUCGUCAGCUCGUGUCGUGAGAUGUUGGGUUAAGUCCCGCAACGAGCGCAACCCUUAUUCUUAGUUGCCAGCACUAACGGUGGGCACUCUAAGGAGACUGCCGGUGACAAACCGGAGGAAGGUGGGGAUGACGUCAAAUCAUCAUGCCCUUUAUGACCUGGGCUACAAACGUACUACAAUGGCCAAUACAAAGAGAUGCGAAGCGGUGACGUGGAGCGAACCUCAGAAAGUUGGUCUCAGUUCAGAUUGAAGUCUGCAACUCGACUUCAUGAAGGCGGAAUCGCUAGUAAUCGCGGGUCAGCAGACCGCGGUGAAUACGUUCCCGGGUUUU